UACGUAGGUGGCAAGCGUUGUCCGGAUUUACUGGGCGUAAAGAGCGCGCAGGCGGUCGUUCAAGUCGCGUGUGAAAGCCCCCGGCUCAACUGGGGAGGGUCACGCGAUACUGAUCGACUGGAAGGCAGGAGAGGGUAGUGGAAUUCCCGGUGUAGUGGUGAAAUGCGUAGAUAUCUGGAGGAACACCGGUGGCGAAGGCGGCAUCCUGGACCGAUACUGACGCUGAGGAGCGAAAGCCAGGGGAGCAAACGGG
rnacentral:rRNA from 1 species